GACGAACGCUGGCGGCGUGCUUAACACAUGCAAGUCGAGCGGUAAGGCCCUUUCGGGGGUACACGAGCGGCGAACGGGUGAGUAACACGUGGGUGACCUGCCCUCAGCUCUGGGAUAAGCCUGGGAAACCGGGUCUAAUACUGGAUAUGACUCCAUGACGCAUGUUGUGGGGUGGAAAGCCUUGUGCGGCUGAGGAUGGGCCCGCGGCCUAUCAGCUUGUUGGUGGGGAUGGCCUACCAAGGCGACGACGGGUAGCCGGCCUGAGAGGGCGACCGGCCACACUGGGACUGAGACACGGCCCAGACUCCUACGGGAGGCAGCAGUGGGGAAUCUUGCGCAAUGGGCGAAAGCCUGACGCAGCGACGCCGCGUGAGGGAUGACGGCCU
rnacentral:rRNA from 1 species